UGGAAGUUGAUGGGGCCCGGUGGUCCCCACGGUCUUCAAAACCGUCGUCAGCUUAUCGGCUGAGGCAGGUUCGACUCCUGCCGCUUCCGCC
rnacentral:tRNA from 1 species